UACAGAGGUCUCAAGCGUUGUUCGGAUUCAUUGGGCGUAAAGGGUGCGUAGGCGGCGCGGUAAGUCGGGUGUGAAAUCUCGGGGCUUAACUCCGAAACUGCAUUCGAUACUGCCGUGCUUGAGGACUGGAGAGGAGACUGGAAUUUACGGUGUAGCGGUGAAAUGCGUAGAUAUCGGAAGGAACAUCAGUGGCGAAAGCGGCUUCCUGGACCAGUACCGACGUCAGGCACGAAAGCGUGGGGAGCAAACAGG
rnacentral:rRNA from 1 species